rnacentral:tRNA from 4 species
GGGGGCGUAGCUCAGUUGGUUAGAGCGCAUGCUUGACAUGCAUGAGGUCAUAAGUUCGAGUCUUACCGUCCCCACCA